GCUGAUGCGUUGUUGGGUAGGGGAGCGUUCUGUAAGCCUGCGAAGGUGACCUGUGAGGGUUGCUGGAGGUAUCAGAAGUGCGAAUGCUGACAUAAGUAACGAUAAAGCGGGUGAAAAGCCCGCUCGCCGGAAGACCAAGGGUUCCUGUCCAACGUUAAUCGGGGCAGGGUGAGUCGACCCCUAAGGCGAGGCCGAAAGGCGUAGUCGAUGGGAAACGGGUUAAUAUUCCCGUACUUGGUGUUACUGCGAAGGGGGGACGGAGAAGGCUAUGUUGGCCGGGCGACGGUUGUCCCGGUUUAAGCGUGUAGGUGUGUGUUCCAGGUAAAUCCGGUUCACUUUAACACUGAGGCGUGAUGACGAGGCACUACGGUGCUGAAGCAACAAAUGCCCUGCUUCCAGGAAAAGCCUCUAAGCAUCAGGUAACAUCAAAUCGUACCCCAAACCGACACAGGUGGUCAGGUAGAGAAUACCAAGGCGCUUGAGAGAACUCGGGUGAAGGAACUAGGCAAAAUGGUGCCGUAACUUCGGGAGAAGGCACGCUGACACGUAGGUGAAGUGAUUUACUCACGGAGCUGAAGUCAGUCGAAGAUACCAGCUGGCUGCAACUGUUUAUUAAAAACACAGCACUGUGCAAACACGAAAGUGGACGUAUACGGUGUGACGCCUGCCCGGUGCCGGAAGGUUAAUUGAUGGGGUCAGCGCAAGCGAAGCUCCUGAUCGAAGCCCCGGUAAACGGCGGCCGUAACUAUAACGGUCCUAAGGUAGCGAAAUUCCUUGUCGGGUAAGUUCCGACCUGCACGAAUGGCGUAAUGAUGGCCAGGCUGUCUCCACCCGAGACUCAGUGAAAUUGAACUCGCUGUGAAGAUGCAGUGUACCCGCGGCAAGACGGAAAGACCCCGUGAACCUUUACUAUAGCUUGACACUGAACAUUGAGCCUUGAUGUGUAGGAUAGGUGGGAGGCUUUGAAGUGUGGACGCCAGUCUGCAUGGAGCCGACCUUGAAAUACCACCCUUUAAUGUUUGAUGUUCUAACGUGGACCCGUAAUCCGGGUUGCGGACAGUGUCUGGUGGGUAGUUUGACUGGGGCGGUCUCCUCCUAAAGAGUAACGGAGGAGCACGAAGGUUGGCUAAUCCUGGUCGGACAUCAGGAGGUUAGUGCAAUGGCAUAAGCCAGCUUGACUGCGAGCGUGACGGCGCGAGCAGGUGCGAAAGCAGGUCAUAGUGAUCCGGUGGUUCUGAAUGGAAGGGCCAUCGCUCAACGGAUAAAAGGUACUCCGGGGAUAACAGGCUGAUACCGCCCAAGAGUUCAUAUCGACGGCGGUGUUUGGCACCUCGAUGUCGGCUCAUCACAUCCUGGGGCUGAAGUAGGUCCCAAGGGUAUGGCUGUUCGCCAUUUAAAGUGGUACGCGAGCUGGGUUUAGAACGUCGUGAGACAGUUCGGUCCCUAUCUGCCGUGGGCGCUGGAGAACUGAGGGGGGCUGCUCCUAGUACGAGAGGACCGGAGUGGACGCAUCACUGGUGUUCGGGUUGUCAUGCCAAUGGCACUGCCCGGUAGCUAAAUGCGGAAGAGAUAAGUGCUGAAAGCAUCUAAGCACGAAACUUGCCCCGAGAUGAGUUCUCCCUGAGACUUAGAG
rnacentral:rRNA from 1 species